GACUGAUGGCCGGCUGCUGUG
rnacentral:piRNA from 1 species